rnacentral:lncRNA from 1 species
GUUCAAACUUUGUCAAACCACAAAAUAAACAAAGUCCUUGAAAUCGAAUACGUAGUUUACAUUCUCGCAAGUUGUGGUCGGCCUUGCCACAUUUAUAACAAGUAGAUAAGCGUACGGGGCAUGCUUUCCCGGUAUGAGCACGAAUUUCUGUGUCUGGGUUACCAAGAGUGCAACUUAGACAUUCAUCUUUAUACACUCGAAAGAAUCGCUCGAGUUGUGCUGAAAUGUCAGUUGAGUCUACCCAUUGUUUUUUGACGGCUUGCACACGACUUUUAUACUCGGCGAAAUGAAUGGUACGAGAAUCAACAUCACCAUCACCAUCACCAUCACCAAUACCAAUACCAAUACCAACAAUACCACUCAUACCUCCAACACUACCAUGAACACGAUUCAUGUCAUGGUUGACGCCCUGUUGUACAUUGUUCAAAUGUUCAUCGUAUGUGCGUUUAUGACCACGACGAUGGCUGAGCGACAUGUCUUCCAAACCAUACUUUAGAUUCGUAUUAGCAUUGCCAAAGCUUUUCUUCCAUGUUGGCGAUACAGACGAAGGGAACAAAGUGAUUUCCGAUAAUUCCGACAAAGACACUGGCGUAGUACUAGUAGUGUUAGUGUUCAUAGCACUCAUACCACUGCUAUUCCCUGGCUGUGGUGGGGGGGAAGACGAAAACGAUGCAUUAUAACGCGAAUGUGUUGCAAUGGCUGGUUUCGGUGUUUCUGGCAAUGUCGGUUUCACUCCAUACAUCGUAGACACAGUUGAUUCUUCACCAAGUAACGAAUCUGAGCAUCUUGAGCAGUAAACACAGUUAGCAAACGAUGCACAACAUACACAUUCGCCAUCCAUUUCACUUGCGAGAAACGAUCGAACACACAUCGUAUUAUCAUUAAGAAAGUUUUUCAUCGAAUCCUCUACGUAGCUCGACCAUGUAGAAUCAUAUUUCUCGUAAAACAAUGCUGCAAUCGCAUACUUGCCAUCUCUUCCAGCUCGACCUGUCUCCUGUACAUAAUCCAUAGA